AGGUUAAGCUAUAAAGAGCAUAGGGUGGAUGCCUAGGCACUGAGAGCCGAUGAAAGACGUGAUAAGCUGCGAUAAGCUGCGGUAAGGAGCAAAUAUCCAUUGACCCGCAGAUUUCUGAAUGGGGAAACCUACGCAAGAAGACCUUGCGUACUCAUACAUGAAUACAUAGUGUAUGAGAGGGAACCCGGGGAACUGAAACAUCUAAGUACCCGGAGGAAGAGAAAGAAACAUCGAUUUCCUGAGUAGCGGCGAGCGAAAGGGAAAGAGCCCAAACCAGAGGAUUUAUCCUUUGGGGUUAGGACUGCAUAAUUGAUCUGCAAUUGAUAGGAGAACGGUCUGGGAAGUCCGGCGAGAAAGCGUGAAAGCCGCGUAUCCGAAAUCGAAAGCAGCAAGGCAGGAUCCAGAGUACCACGAGACACGAGAAACCUUGUGGGAAUGAGCGGAGACCACUCCGUAAGGCUAAAUACUACUCAGUGACCGAUAGCGCAUAGUACUGUGAAGGAAAGGUGAAAAGGACCCCGGGAGGGGAGUGAAAGAGAACCUGAAACCCUGUGUUUACAAGCUGUCGAAGCACGAAAGUGCGACGGCGUACUUUUUGUAGAACGGUCCGGCGAGUUAUGAUGAGUGGUAAGGUUAAGGACUUAAGGUCCGGAGCCGAAGCGAAAGCGAGUGUUAAAAGCACGGUUGAAUCGCUUAUCAUAGACCCGAAACCGGGUGAUCUAUCCAUGUCCAGGUUGAAGCUGCCGUAAGAGGUAGUGGAGGACCGAACACACAUCCGUUGAAAAGGGUGGUGAUGAGGUGUGGAUAGGGGAGAAAUUCCAAUCGAACCCGGAGAUAGCUGGUUCUCCUCGAAAUAGCUUUAGGGCUAGCCUCUGGUUAGUCUGCCGCAGGUAGAGCACUGAAUUUCCUAGGGGGCGUCAAAGCCUACCGAAGAAUAUCAAACUGCGAAUGGCGGACAGAUGAUGCCAGGGAGUCAGACUGCACGAGAUAAGUUGGGUGGUCAAAAGGGAAAGAGCCCAGACCUACAGCUAAGGUCCCAAAGUGUGUGUUAAGUGGAAAAGGAUGUGGGAUUUCGAAGACAACUAGGAUGUUGGCUCAGAAGCAGCCACACAUUAAAAGAGUGCGUAAUAGCUCACUAGUCGAGAGGUCCUGCGCCGAAAAUGUCCGGGGCUAAAACACAACACCGAAGCUUAGGAAUUCUAAUGAAUUGGUAGAGGAGCAUUGAAGACGGAACGAAGCCAUACCGUAAGGAAUGGUGGACUGUCUUGAAGAGAGAAUGCCGGAAUGAGUAGCGAGAUUGAAGUGAGAAUCUUCAAGGCCGAAUAUCUAAGGUUUCCAGGGUAAAGCUGAUCUGCCCUGGGUAAGUCGGGGCCUAAGGCAAGGUCGAAAGACGUAGUCGAUGGAUAACAGGUUGAAAUUCCUGUACUGCAUCAAAUCAGAAAUGUGGGGACACAUGAGGGAAGCAUGAGCCGGAAAAGGAAAGUCCGGUACAAGCGCAGCAGAGGACAGAUAGGCAAAUCCGUCUGUCAACUCGAGGGCGCGAUGUGGAGCGAACCAAAGUAGCGAAGCAUGUGGAGCUUGUGUCGAGAAAAGCCGCUAUAGUGUUUGAUGUACCCGUACCGUAAACCGACACAGGUGGAUGAGGAGAGAAUCCUAAGGCCGGCGGGAGAAGCAUUGUUAAGGAACUCGGCAAAAUGACCCCGUAACUUCGGGAGAAGGGGUGCUCCAGAGAUGGAGCCGCAGAGAACUGGCCCAAGCAACUGUUUAGCAAAAACACAGGUCUAUGCAAAACCGAAAGGUGAGGUAUAUGGGCUGACGCCUGCCCGGUGCUGGAAGGUUAAGAGGAGAUGUUAAUCGCAAGGUGAAGCAUUGAAUUUAAGCCCCAGUAAACGGCGGCCGUAACUAUAACGGUCCUAAGGUAGCGAAAUUCCUUGUCGGGUAAGUUCCGACCCGCACGAAAGGCGUAAUGAUUUGGGCACUGUCUCGACAAUGCACCCGGUGAAAUUGAAAUACCAGUGAAGAUGCUGGUUACCUGCGCCAGGACGGAAAGACCCCAUGGAGCUUUACUCUAGCUUGAUACUGGGGUUCGGUAUUGCAUGUACAGGAUAGGUGGGAGACUGAGAAGAUGUGUCGCCAGAUGCAUCAGAGUCGAUGUUGGGAUACCACCCCUGCAGUACUGGGCUUCUAACCUGCAGCCGUGACCCGGCUGGGGGACAAUGUCUGGUGGGGAGUUUGACUGGGGCGGUCGCCUCCGAAAGAGUAUCGGAGGCGCUCAAAGGUUCCCUCAGAAUGGUUGGAAACCAUUCGAAGAGCGCAAAGGCAGAAGGGAGCUUGACUGCGACACCGACGGGUGGAGCAGGUACGAAAGUAGGACUUAGUGAUCCGGUGGUAUGAAAGUGGGAUUGCCAUCGCUCAACGGAUAAAAGCUACCCUGGGGAUAACAGGCUUAUCACUCCCAAGAGUUCACAUCGACGGAGUGGUUUGGCACCUCGAUGUCGGCUCAUCGCAUCCUGGGGCUGUAGUAGGUCCCAAGGGUUGGGCUGUUCGCCCAUUAAAGCGGUACGCGAGCUGGGUUCAGAACGUCGUGAGACAGUUCGGUCCCUAUCCGGCGUGGGCGUAGGAUAUCUGAGAGGAGCUGUCCUUAGUACGAGAGGACCGGGAUGGACUGACCUCUGGUGCACCGGUUGCAUUGCCAAAUGCAUAGCCGGGUAGCCAAGUCGGGACGGGAUAAACGCUGAAGGCAUCUAAGCGUGAAGCCCCCCUCAAGAUGAGAUAUCCCAUAACAUAAGUUAGUAAGACCCCUUGAAGACGACGAGGUAGAUAGGCAGAAGGUGGAAGUGUGGUGACAUAUGGAGCUGAUCUGUACUAAUAGGUCGAGGGCUUAACCAAG
rnacentral:rRNA from 1 species